UGGGGAAUAUUGGACAAUGGGGGCAACCCUGAUCCAGCAAUGCCGCGUGUGUGAAGAAGGUCUUCGGAUUGUAAAGCACUUUCGACGGGGACGAUGAUGACGGUACCCGUAGAAGAAGCCCCGGCUAACUUCGUGCCAGCAGCCGCGGUAAUACGAAGGGGGCUAGCGUUGCUCGGAAUGACUGGGCGUAAAGGGCGUGUAGGCGGUUUACACAGUCAGAUGUGAAAUCCCCGGGCUUAACCUGGGAGCUGCAUUUGAUACGUGUAGACUAGAGUGUGAGAGAGGGUUGUGGAAUUCCCAGUGUAGAGGUGAAAUUCGUAGAUAUUGGGAGGAACACCGGUGGCGAAGGCGGCAACCUGGCUCAUGACUGACGCUGAGGCGCGAAAGCGUGGGGAGCAAACAGGAUUAGAUACCCUGGUAGUCC
rnacentral:rRNA from 1 species